AGAAAAAUAAGCUAAUUUAAGCUAGUGGGUUCAUACCCCACCUAUAGAACAUCUUUUUUCUA
rnacentral:tRNA from 1 species